AGAGCAGGGAUUGUGUGUAUCGGCGUUGUGCCAUGAUCAAUGCACUAUGUAUCCGAAAGAGUUCCCUGCAAAACCAAUUAAGGGAAGGUGGGCAGUUGUGAUUCAUUUUCCACCAUUGAUUGCUCAACAAUCAUCUUCCCCACAUUU